GUUUCAUUCAACAAUUCCAAAAAUCUCCCUACACCCCAAAGGCCAAUAUAGACAUUUUACAUAACAUCGACUAGUUUUGCGUUUUACACUUUAAUCGGUGUUUUGGGAUAUAACUUCACCAAAUUUGAGAAACAGUUGCGCAUCUGAGGUGCUCAUGGAUGAACAAUUCACCAAAUGUGGAGUCUUGAGGUUCGCGUAUUCAUCCAUGUAGCUUGAAACUUUUGAAGACGGAAGCAAUGUGGUGGGACCCACAUGUGGGUCGGGUCGGGGUGUUGGGAGGAUGCUCCCGAGGACCCGAACCACUUCAUGCAUCGUUGGUCUCUCCGAGGGUUGUCUUU
rnacentral:lncRNA from 1 species